CCUACGGGAGGCAGCAGUGGGGAAUAUUGCUCAAUGGGGGAAACCCUGAAGCAGCGACGCCGCGUGAAGGAUGAAGGUUUUCGGAUUGUAAACCCCUUUUGGCAGGGAAGAUAAUGACGGUAUCUGACGAAUAAGCACCGGCUAACUCCGUGCCAGCAGCCGCGGUAAUACGGAGGGUGCAAGCGUUACUCGGAAUCACUGGGCGUAAAGAGCGCGUAGGCGGGAUAGCAAGUCAGAUGUGAAAGCCUAUGGCUUAACCCUAGAACUGCAUUUGAAACUGUUAUUCUAGAGUAUGGGAGAGGUAGGUGGAAUUCGUGGUGUAGGGGUAAAAUGCGUAGAGAUCAAGAGGAAUACUCAUUGCGAAGGCGACCUGCUAGAACAUAACUGACGCUGAGGCGCGAAAGCGUGGGGAGCAAACAGGAUUAGAUACCCCAGUAGUC
rnacentral:rRNA from 1 species